CAGCAGCCGCGGUAAUACGGAGGGUGCAAGCGUUAAUCGGAAUUACUGGGCGUAAAGCGCACGCAGGCGGUCUGUCAAGUCAGAUGUGAAAUCCCCGGGCUUAACCUGGGAACUGCAUUUGAAACUGGCAGGCUAGAGUGUGGUAGAGGAUAGUGGAAUUUCCGGUGUAGCAGUGAAAUGCGUAGAGAUCGGGAGGAACAUCAGUGGCGAAGGCGGCCAUCUGGGGCAACACUGACGCUGAAGCACGAAAGCGUGGGGAGCAAACAGGAUUAGAUACCCGAGUAGUCCCUGUCUCUUAUAA
rnacentral:rRNA from 1 species